GACGAACGCUGGCGGCGUGCCUAAUACAUGCAAGUUGAGCGCUGAAGGUUGGUACUUGUACCAACUGGAUGAGCAGCGAACGGGUGAGUAACGCGUGGGGAAUCUGCCUUUGAGCGGGGGACAACAUUUGGAAACGAAUGCUAAUACCGCAUAAAAACUUUAAACACAAGUUUUAAGUUUGAAAGAUGCAAUUGCAUCACUCAAAGAUGAUCCCGCGUUGUAUUAGCUAGUUGGUGAGGUAAAGGCUCACCAAGGCGAUGAUACAUAGCCAACCUGAGAGGGUGAUCGGCCACAUUGGGACUGAGACACGGCCCAAACUCCUACGGGAGGCAGCAGUAGGGAAUCUUCGGCAAUGGACGAAAGUCUGACCGAGCAACGCCGCGUGAGUGAAGAAGGGUUUCGGAUCGUAAAACUCUGUUGGUAGAGAAGAACGUUGGUGAGAGUGGAAAGCUCAUCAAGUGACGGUAACUACCCAGAAAGGGACGGCUAACUACGUG
rnacentral:rRNA from 1 species